rnacentral:rRNA from 1 species
CCCGGUGGCUAUGGCGGAGGGGCAACACCCGUUCCCAUCCCGAACACGGCAGUUAAGACCUCCAGCGCCGAUGGUACUGCACUAGCGAUGGUGUGGGAGAGUAGGACGUCGCCGGGA